rnacentral:rRNA from 1 species
UACAGAGGUCUCAAGCGUUGUUCGGAUUCAUUGGGCGUAAAGGGUGCGUAGGUGGCGCCAUAAGUCAGGUGUGAAAUUUCGGAGCUUAACUCCGAAACUGCACUUGAUACUGCGGUGCUUGAGGACUGGAGAGGAGACUGGAAUUCACGGUGUAGCAGUGAAAUGCGUAGAUAUCGUGAGGAACACCUGUGGCGAAAGCGGCGCACUGGACCAUAACUGACGCUGAGGCGCGAAAGCUAGGGGAGCAAACAGG